rnacentral:lncRNA from 1 species
UUUUUUUGGUUUUUCCCGCGGGUUCCUUCGUCUUUCUUUCCACUGUCACACGAGCUCCUUUCUCUUCCCACUGCAAGCUUCUCACAUUUUAAGGUUUUUUCUCAUCUGCAGAGCUCAUUGUUUCCGUGGAAUCCAUUUAUUUCGAAGCUUUCUUUUUUUCUUAUUUCCGUGGAAUCAUCUCUUCUCUCCGGAGCCAUUUUCUUCUUCAUUCAAGUCUUGUAAGUGUUUUUCCUUUCUAGUUUAGUUCUUUCUUUCUUUCCACCAGUUAUUUUCACUUUUUGCUUCUUAUAAACCUAACUUUAUUUUUUAACCCUAAUUUAUAUUUUUAUGUUCU